UACGAAGGGUGCAAGCGUUAAUCGGAAUUACUGGGCGUAAAGCGUGUGUAGGCGGCCCACUAAGUCUGGUGUGAAAUCCCCAAGCUUAACUUGGGAACUGCAUCGGAAACUGGUGGGCUUGAGUCCGGGAGAGGGUAGCGGAAUUCCUGGUGUAGAGGUGAAAUUCGUAGAUAUCAGGAGGAACACCGGUGGCGAAGGCGGCUACCUGGACCGGUACUGACGCUGAGACACGAAAGCGUGGGGAGCAAACAGG
rnacentral:rRNA from 1 species